rnacentral:rRNA from 1 species
CGUGCCUUUCACUACGGAAUAGCUUUUGGAAACGAAAGGUAAUACCGUAUACGCCCUCCGGGGAAAGAUUUAUCGGUGAAAGAUCGGUCCGCGUUAGAUUAGCUAGUUGGUGAGGUAAUGGCUCACCAAGGCUACGAUCUAUAGCUGGUCUGAGAGGAUGAUCAGCCACACUGGGACUGAGACACGGCCCAGACUCCUACGGGAGGCAGCAGUGGGGAAUAUUGCACAAUGGGCGCAAGUGAUGCAGUCAUGCCGCGUGAAUGAUGAAGGCCUUAGGGUUGUAAAAUUCUUUCGCCAAGGAUGAUAAUGACAGUACUUGGUAAAGAAGCCCCGGCUAACUUCGUGCCAGCAGCCGCGGUAAUACGAAGGGGGCUAGCGUUGUUCGGAAUUACUGGGCGUAAAGCGCACGUAGGCGGACUUUUAAGUCAGAUGUGAAAUCCCGAGGCUCAACCUCGGAACUGCAUUUGAAACUGGGAGUCUAGAGAUCAGGAGAGGUUAGCGGAAUACCGAGUGUAGAGGUGAAAUUCGUAGAUAUUCGGUGGAACACCAGUGGCGAAGGGGCUAACUGGACUGAUACUGACGCUGAGGUGCGAAAGUGUGGGGAGCAAACAGGAUUAGAUACCCUGGUAGUCCACACCGUAAACGAUGAGUGCUAGUUGUCUGCAGGCAUGCCUGUAGGUGACGCAGCUAACGCAUUAAGCACUCCGCCUGGGGAGUACGGCCGCAAGUUAAAACUCAAAGAAAUUGACGGGGGCCCGCACAAGCGUGGAGCAUGUGGUUUAAUUCGAAGCAACGCGCAGAACCUUACCUACGCUUGACAUGCCUGGACGACUCCGAGAGAUCGGUUUCUCCCUUCGGGCCAGUGCACAGGU